rnacentral:rRNA from 1 species
AUACGGAGGGUGCAAGCGUUACUCGGAAUCACUGGGCGUAAAGCGCGCGCAGGCGGCUUGAUAAGUUGGAUGUGAAAGCCUACGGCUCAACCGUAGAACUGCAUCCAAAACUGUCAAGCUAGAGUCUGGGAGGGGAAGAUGGAAUUAGUUGUGUAGGGGUAAAAUCCGUAGAGAUAACUAGGAAUACCAAAAGCGAAGGCGAUCUUCUGGAACAGUACUGACGCUGAGGCGCGAAAGCGUGGGGAGCAAGCAGGAUUAGAAACCCCAGUAGUCC